rnacentral:rRNA from 1 species
AGCAGCCGCGGUAAUUCCAGCUCCAAUAGCGUAUAUUAAAGUUGUUGCAGUUAAAAAGCUCGUAGUUGAAUUUCGGGGUCAGUAGGUCGGUCGUGCCACUGGUAUGAACUGGUUUUACUGAUUCCUCCCUCUUGAAGAACUAUAAUGUCAUUAAUUUGGUGUUGUAGGGAAUCAGGACUGUUACUUUGAAAAAAUUGAGUGUUUAAAGCAGGCUUUAGCUUGAAUACAUUAGCAUGGAAUAAUGAAAUAGAACGUUUGAUCCUAUUUUGUUGGUUUCUAGGAUUGACGUAAUGAUUAAUAGGGAUAGUUGGGGGCAUUAGUAUUCAAUUGUCAGAGGUGAAAUUCUUGGAUUUAUUGAAGACUAACUACUGCGAAAGCAUUUGCCAAGGAUGUUUUCAUUAAUCAAGAACGAAAGUUAGGGAUCGAAGACGAUCAGAUACCGUCGUAGUCUUAACCAUAAACUAUGCCGACUAGGGAUCGGAUGAUGUUAAUUUUUAUGUACUCAUUCGGCGCCUUACGG